rnacentral:rRNA from 1 species
GACAGAGGUGGCAAGCGUUGCUCGGAGUUACUGGGCUUAAAGGGCGCGUAGGCGGUCGUGCACGUCGGUGGUGAAAUCCCCGGGCUCAACCCGGGAACUGCCGUCGAUACGGCGCGACUCGAGUGUGGGAGGGGAGAGUGGAACUCCUGGUGGAGCGGUGAAAUGCGUAGAUAUCAGGAGGAACGCCGGUGGCGAAAGCGACUCUCUGGACCACAACUGACGCUGAGGCGCGAAAGCCAGGGGAGCAAACGGG